UACAAAUCCCUCUUUCGAAUGAUGCCCUCUGCCUCUCCCUCUGCCUGCUUUCUCAUUUUCUUCUUCCGUCGGUGGGUGAUCUCAGAAUCUUUGAAGGAUUUCAGGCAUAUCUUUCCUGCAGUGGAUUUGGCAAUGUAGGAGGAUGAAAUGAAUUCGAGACAAAGAGUAAUAGGGUAAAGGUGCUGAGCUUCCACAGCAAGCGGCCAUGGAUCCUAGUGAGCCUCCACAGUGGUGUAAUCCAGCUCUGGGAUUACAAGAUGGGGACCCUCAUAGACAGAUUUGACGAGCACGAUGGUCCUGUACAUGGGGUCCACUUCCACAAAUCUUAGCCACUCUUCGUCUCCGGAGGAUUGGGGCGGAUGCUCGAAAUAUUAAAUUGUGAAACUUGUCUAGCAGGCAUUCAUUACAAUUUAGUGUGUUCAUUUUAAAAUCCUUUCCGUUAAUAUCACAAUUUGGGCUAUACACCUAGAAGAGGAGCUUGAAGCAGAUGAAAGAAAGCUUGUGGAAAAGCUUGAGUAUCAAAUUCGAAUAGAAAAUGAGGCUAAACUGA